rnacentral:rRNA from 1 species
UACGGGGGGAGCAAGCGUUGUUCGGAUUUACUGGGCGUAAAGGGCGCGUAGGCGGCCACCGCAAGUCAAUUGUGAAAUCUCCGGGCUUAACUCGGAAAGGUCAACUGAUACUGCGGGGCUAGAGUGCGGAAGGGGCAACUGGAAUUCUCGGUGUAGCGGUGAAAUGCGUAGAUAUCGAGAGGAACACCUGCGGCGAAGGCGGGUUGCUGGGCCGACACUGACGCUGAGGCGCGAAAGCCAGGGGAGCGAAAGGG